rnacentral:rRNA from 2 species
CGGCGGACGGGUGAGUAAUGCCUAGGAAUCUGCCUGGUAGUGGGGGACAACGUUUCGAAAGGAACGCUAAUACCGCAUACGUCCUACGGGAGAAAGUGGGGGAUCUUCGGACCUCACGCUAUCAGAUGAGCCUAGGUCGGAUUAGCUUGUAGGUGAGGUAAUGGCUCACCUAGGCAACGAUCCGUAACUGGUCUGAGAGGAUGAUCAGUCACACUGGAACUGAGACACGGUCCAGACUCCUACGGGAGGCAGCAGUGGGGAAUAUUGGACAAUGGGCGAAAGCCUGAUCCAGCCAUGCCGCGUGUGUGAAGAAGGUCUUCGGAUUGUAAAGCACUUUAAGUUGGGAGGAAGGGUUGUAGCUUAAUACGCUGCAACUUUGACGUUACCAACAGAAUAAGCACCGGCUAACUCUGUGCCAGCAGCCGCGGUAAUACAGAGGGUGCAAGCGUUAAUCGGAAUUACUGGGCGUAAAGCGCGCGUAGGCGGCUUGAUAAGAUGGGUGUGAAAUCCCCGGGCUUAACCUGGGAACUGCAUCCAUAACUGUCUGGCUAGAGUGCAGUAGAGGGUGGUGGAAUUUCCUGUGUAGCGGUGAAAUGCGUAGAUAUAGGAAGGAACACCAGUGGCGAAAGCGACCACCUGGACUGACACUGACGCUGAUGUGCGAAAGCGUGGGGAGCAAACAGGAUUAGAUACCCUGGUAGUCCACGCCGUAAACGAUGUCAACUAGCCGUUGGAAUCCUUGAGAUUUUA